UCUCGCCGUCUCUCUCUGUCUUUCACUAUCCGUUUCUCUCUAGCCGUCUCUCUCUAUCCGUCUCUCUCUAUCCGUCUCUUUCUAGCCGUCUCUCUCUAGCCGUCUCUAUCUGUUGUCUCUCUAUCCCCGUCUCUCUCUAGCCGUCUCUCUCUAGCCGUCUCUCUCUAGCCGUCUCUUUCUAGCCGUCUCUCUCUAGCCGUCUCUAUCUGUUGUUCUCUAUCCGUCUCUCUCUGUCUUUCACUAUCCGUUUCUCUCUAGCAAUCUCUCUCUGUUGUUCUCUAGCCGUCUCUCUCUAGCCCCGUCUCUCUGUUGUUCUCUUGCCGUCUCCUCUAGCCGUCUCUCUCUGUUGUUCUCUAUCCGUCUCUCUCUAUCCGUCUCUCUCUAUUGUUCUCUAUCCGUCUUUCUCUAGCCGUCUCUCUCUGUUGUUCUCUAUCCGUCUCUCUCUUGCCGUCUCCUCUAGCCGUCUCUGUUGUUCUCUAUCCGUCUCUCUCUGUUGUUCUCUAUCCGUCUCUCUCUAUCCGUCUCUCUCUAUCCGUCUCUCUCUAGCCGUCUCUCUCUGUUGUUCUCUUGCCGUCUCCUCUAGCCGUCUCUCUCUGUUGUUCUCUAUCCGUCUCUCUCUAUCCGUCUCUCUCUAUCCGUCUCUCUCUAGCCGUCUCUCUCUGUUGUUCUCUUGCCGUCUCCUCUAGCCGUCUCUCUCUGUUGUUCUCUAGCCGUCUCUCUCUAUCCGUCUCUCUCUAUUGUUCUCUUGCCGUCUCCUCUAUCCGUCUCUCUCUGUUGUUCUCUAUCCGUCUCUCUCUAUCCGUCUCUCUCUGUUGUUCUCUAUCCGUCUUUCUCUAGCCGUCUCUCUCUGUUGUUCUCUAUCCGUCUCUCUCUUGCCGUCUCCUCUAGCCAUCUCUGUUGUUCUCUAUCCGUCUCUCUCUGUUGUUCUCUAGCCGUCUCUCUCUGUUGUUCUCUAUCCGUCUCUCUCUGUUGUUCUCUAGCCGUCUCUCUCUGUUGUUCUCUAGCCGUCUCUAUCUGUUGUUCUCUAGCCGUCUCUCUCUAUCCGUCUCUCUCUAUCCGUCUCUCUCUGUUGUUCUCUAG
ensembl:lncRNA